rnacentral:tRNA from 1 species
GCCCGUGUAGCUCAGGGGGGAGAGCGCCGCCUUCACACGGCGGAGGGCCCAGGUUCGAGACCUGGUGCGGGCA